rnacentral:rRNA from 1 species
GACGAACCGUGCGAACGUUGUUCGGAAUCACUGGGCUUAAAGGGCGCGUAGGCGGGCUGUCAAGUCUGGGGUUAAAUGCCGCGGCUCAACCGUGGAACUGCCUUAGAUACUGACGGCCUCGAGGAAGGUAGGGGCAUGCGGAACUGUAGGUGGAGCGGUGAAAUGCGUUGAUAUCUACAGGAACUCCGGUGGCGAAAGCGGCGUGCUGGACCUUUUCUGACGCUGAGGCGCGAAAGCUAGGGGAGCAAACGGG